GACAGAUUCAUGCCGAGUCAGUGCGCCAGUGCGCCAGACUUCCUACUUGAGGGACGAAGAGUCUGAUGAUUUUCUUUCUGUGACAGCUGGCACUGUCAGACGAGCCGACUUGUCAGACGAGCACCGCAGAGCCUGCUGGACGGCGGACACAUGGUGGCCGCUCCUUGGUUGUCUUUCUGUCCCACUCUUCAUGGGGCUGGUUUCCAGCAGGAGGCGCUGUGCACCCCCCCCCCCACACCGCCCCCAGGGUGUGGAGCUCAUCGUGUGUGACCUCAGGCCAGUCACUCGGACACGGGGUUUCCCGUUUUGUAAGAUUGGCAAUGAUUAUUCUGAUAUUAUCCAGUGGACGAAUACGCACGUGACAUGACCUACUAGAGACCGCCCGUCGUUGCAAACCCAGAGGUCUCUCUCCGUCUGCCUUCCUCUCUCCUUUCUGUGCAGACUGAGAUUGAGUUUCAGCUUGUUUCUUUUCGUCUUCGGGAACCCCCCUGCUGGCCUCCUGAGACCAUCCUGAUAUGUUUGUGGUUUUAAUCUGCGGCGGUUCCUGCCUCUAAACCUGCACUCUGGGGACCUACCAAGCCACUCUGCUCUGUUCCUGCUCCUCGCACCCACCCAUUCCUGCCUGCUCUCAGCCUCUGUUUUGUAAGUACC
rnacentral:lncRNA from 1 species